GGCGGCUUCAGGUCCGGGGGCGUCAUGGAACUAAUUCGCUGACCGACCCACCGGCCGCAGC
rnacentral:precursor_RNA from 1 species